AGUUUCUUGAUGAAGUAGAAAUUUCUGGACCACCACCUCUUCCAGAAGCUCAAAUUAAAUCACUGCCAACCAAAACAAUCUCAAAGGAACAUGUAGAUAAAGGUGUACAGUGUACGGUUUGCAUGGAUGAUUUCGCUUUGAGAGAAAAAGUUAAAUGCCUACCAUGUCAACAUUUUUACCAUGAAAAAUGUAUAACUCCAUGGCUAGAAAGGCAUGCCACAUGUCCAAACUGUCGGGAAACCAUAAAGAUUCAGCCAAACUGUAGGGGCAGACGAUCUGUUAGCUGUCCAAGGUCAAGCAGACAUUCAGAUGAAGAAAGUCAACACAACUCAGACUCUUCAGCUUCCUCAUCAUCAUCGUCCUCGCUCAGUGAUUUUUUCUCAACCAGUAUAAAUCCAUUUCGAUUUUUGCAUUAGGAAGGUGGUGUAUGAUA